rnacentral:rRNA from 1 species
CCUACGGGGGGCAGCAGUGGGGAAUAUUGGACAAUGGGCGAAAGCCUGAUCCAGCCAUGCCGCGUGUGUGAAGAAGGCCUUCGGGUUGUAAAGCACUUUCAGUGGGGAAGAAAGCCUUGGGGCUAAUACCCUCGAGGAAGGACAUCACCCACAGAAGAAGCACCGGCUAACUCCGUGCCAGCAGCCGCGGUAAUACGGAGGGUGCGAGCGUUAAUCGGAAUUACUGGGCGUAAAGCGCGCGUAGGCGGUCUGAUAAGCCGGUUGUGAAAGCCCCGGGCUCAACCUGGGAACGGCAUCCGGAACUGUCAGGCUAGAGUGCAGGAGAGGAAGGUAGGAUUCCCGGUGUAGCGGUGAAAUGCGUAGAGAUCGGGAGGAAUACCAGUGGCGAAGGCGGCCUUCUGGACUGACACUGACGCUGAGGUGCGAAAGCGUGGGUAGCAAACAGGAUUAGAUACCCUGGUAGUC